rnacentral:rRNA from 1 species
AGAAUCAACGCUGGCGGCGUGCCUAACACAUGCAAGUCGCACGAGAAAGGGUAGCAAUACCUGAGUACAGUGGCGCACGGGUGAGUAACACGUGAAUAAUCUACCUCCGAGUGGGGAAUAACUGAGAGAAAUCUUAGCUAAUACCGCAUAAUACCCACGGGUCAAAGCAGCAAUGCGCUUGGAGAGGAGUUCGCGGCAGAUUAGUUAGUUGGCGGGGUAAUGGCCCACCAAGACGAUGAUCUGUAUCCGGCCUGAGAGGGCGCACGGACACACUGGAACUGAAACACGGUCCAGACUCCUACGGGAGGCAGCAGUGGGGAAUUUUGCGCAAUGGGGGAAACCCUGACGCAGCAACGCCGCGUGGAGGAUGAAGCCCCUUGGGGUGUAAACUCCUUUCGAUCGGGAAGAUAAUGACGGUACCGAUAUAAGAAGCCCGGCUAACUUCGUGCCAGCAGCCGAC